CCUGCAUGAAGUCGGAAUUGCUAGUAAUCGCAGAUCAGCAUGCUGCGGUGAAUACGUUCCCGGGCCUUGUACACACCGCCCGUCACACCAUGGGAGUCGGAAAUGCCCGAAGUCUGUGACCCAACCUACGGGAGGGAGCAGCCGAAGGCAGGUCGGAUGACUGGGGUGAAGUCGUAACAAGGUAUC
rnacentral:rRNA from 1 species